GCCCACGUAGUUCAACGGAUAGAAUGUGUCCCUACUAAGUUCAAGAUUCUGGUUCGAUUCCAGACGUGGGCU
rnacentral:tRNA from 1 species